GAGACAAUCCAGGUAUACAAGGUACAAUGAGGUCUGGCCCCAGGGCUGACCUCAGACUGUGCCUUAACACUCUGUGUCUUACUGCAUCAUUUCUGGAAGGUUAUUUCAGAAGGUGGUAAUUACAGAGAGUAAAUUAGGGCUAAAGCAGGAUGAGAACUUGCUUGGAUGUUCUGUUGAGGAAAGAGAGGUGGAAGGAGCAAAGGGCUCAGCACCCAAAACUCUGGGAAUCACUCAACUUUAGAGAAAGAAAGCAAAAGCACUUUUAAAAUGAGUUAAGUGGAAGACGAACAGACAAAUGAGGUAACUUCUAUAAAGAUGGAGGUUGCUUCUGGCUCAUCAGCCAUCGUUGAUGGUAACCAGUCCUACAAUUCUCAUUAGGCAGUUCUGUUACCCCACUAUUUCCUUGGGGUCUGUUGUGCUAAGGACAGGAUUGGUUGGGUAAAGGGGUGUGGCACAAAUAACCCUCAGGAAUACAGGCCACAGAGCUAAUGAAGGGCCCCAAGGAAAGAAAGACCUGCCCAUCAGCGAUGAAUUCUCUCCCCCAGUGCCACAGACCUGAGGGCACGUGACCCAGGAAUGUGCAUCCAAAGAUAAUACUACCUUCAGAGAACUCUACUUAUAGGUAAGUAACUCUCCUUUAUAGGAGGUAUCUUUGUGUGGCAGACUGUUUAUGCGAGCAAUUUGAAUUGAACUUUAAAUGAAAAAGCAUAUCUCUGUAAGUGGUAAUAAUUUUAGUCAUCUCACUGUGGCUAGGGGUUGUGGAAUUCAUUAGCACAGAUUAACAUAUAAAGUGGGUGAGAUAUCUAAUAGCAAACGGAGAGGUUUAGGGGCCUUAAUUCAUCACUGAAUGAACAGCGUGUACAGUAUUAGGGACUAUGAAAUUUUUAAUUUACACAAAGUGUCCAAGAAUAUAGGGAAUAAAUUUAAACCCAAAACAGAUAAUGGAGCUAUGCCCUACCUGGCUGGCAAGUUGAAUUGUUUUUACACUGAGUGAAGAAAGCUAAUUAUCCCAAGCACAAGGAGACUGCUAAAAAUAAUAAGAUUAUAAGGAAUAAUUUGCUGAUAUAAUUACAACAAAAUUGGGUACACACAAUCGUCAGAUACAUGUAUUGCUUGACCUGGGUGAGAAAGUGAAAUAAAUCCUUCUUCUAUAGCCUUCGUAAAUUUGUUUUUAUCAUCUCCAAGUGGUGUUUGCACAGGCAGCACAAUUUGCAUGUGUAAUGUGGCUGUACAAAUUGACAACAAGUAAAUUAUUCAAGGAAAUAGGCUGGUCGCGGGUCUGAACUAUCUCGCAAAGCCUAUUCAUUUUGAAGAAUCACUGAGACGUGAAGCUCAUACAUCAACCGUUUUCUGACAAUCCUCAGACUUAUUGUCUCCUAAAAUGUCAUUAUGGCUAUUAUUUAUGAAGCUAAUUCAUUUAUUAAUAUAUAUUUAACUCUGACUUGUCAUGCACCUUAGCAGACAUUCUGUGCACUGCAUAUUUUUGAAUAGAUGAAAGGCUUUUGCAUGCUUUAAUGAUUACUGUAAGCUGCUAUAGAUUUAUAGAAUGCAGCUUUAUUAUCUACUUGCAUUAAUACCUUUUUAUAAGUUUUUUUUCUUAAGGCCAUCAAAUAUAAAUGGCAAAUGACAUAUUCAAAAGAUUGUGUGGAAUAAGAUUUUCCUAGAGUUUGUUGAAUUUUAGAACAAAGUGGGUUAUCUGUCAGUUAAGGCCUAAUUCACCUAAAAAGAUGGGUAUAUACCAAUUAUGUUGAAUUUUCCUCCAAAAUAUAGGCUGUGGUUUUUCAAGAAAAAGGAAAAGAUUCAUAAUUCAUUGAGCUCUUUCCUUGUGAGAAGAAAGGCCACUCUUUUGUGUGCUGAAGUUGGACAACAGUUCCCAAGGAAGCUGAAUUCUAGCUGUUUAUUGUUAUUGGGUUUUGCACUAUGCCCUUUAUGUUGUCAUUAAUCAAUAAAUACGUGUGGAACAAA
ensembl:lncRNA LINC00867 long intergenic non-protein coding RNA 867